GCCCAAUUUUUAUUGAUAUAUUCCUUUUUUUUUUUUGGGUACAAAUUCACAAAUGAAUUUGAUGAAGAUUCAUUUGGGCAGAAAACAUAAGGAGUGGAAUCAAAAUUAAAACCUCUUUUCUCUCUUUCUCUGGCUCUGAAUGAUGAACAAUUCAUAAACCAGUGACAAAUAAGAGAGAGGAACGAGGUGGUCUCCUUCUCCAACUCAGAGAUUGCUCCGCAACUAAGUCUGAUUCCAUGAUUGCUUAUCAUUAUUAUUAUUAUUCAUUUCCUUAAAAACACAGAAGAUGGGUACGGGUUCAGAUUCCAAUGGAUGGAACCGUGCUCGAGGGUUAGCCGUUAAGACUCUGCUACUCAUUGGUGGUGCACUUCUCGUCAAGCGACUCCGCAAGUCCACCACGCGUUGGGACCAUGCUCGCUUUGUCACCAAGUCCCUCACCGGCCAAAGGUAUUCAAAGGAGCAAGCUUCUAGAGACCCUGAUAACUAUUUUAAUAUUAGAAUGCUUACGUGUCCUGCAGCAGAGCUAGUGGAUGGUUCUAAGGUCUUGUAUUUUGAACAGGCUUUUUGGAGAAGUCCACAAAAACCCUUUCGGCAGAGGUUUCUUAUGGUGAAACCUUGUCCUAAAGAGUUGAAAUGUGAUGUUGAGUUGAGUACUUAUGCAAUUAGGGACAUGGAGGAGUACAAAAAUUUCUGUGAUCGACCGAAGGAUCAGCGUCCACAGCCAGAAGAAGUGAUUGGGGAUAUUGCAGAACAUUUAACAACAGUACAUCUUAAGCGAUGUCCACGUGGAAAACGUUGCUUAUAUGAAGGUUCAACGCCACCUGGUGGAUUUCCUAAUUCAUGGAAUGGGGCAACCUACUGUACUUCAGAACUUGCAGUUAUGAAAAACAAUGAGAUACAUACCUGGGAUAGGGGUUAUGAUGACGAUGGCAAUCAAGUCAGUUUUCUUUAUCUCGUUUUAUCUAGUUUGACUAGUUUUAUGGAUUAUGAUAGGAACAGAAUGAUGAUGUAAAAGGAGAUAAUAUUAUUGAUGAAACCAAAGAUGGUGAACCUGAGCUCUUACAAAUGAAAAACCAGAGCCAAGGCAUUAGUAUUCUCUCUCCAACAACAACCAGAUAACAAUUCCUAUCUCUCUCUUUUCUCUCCCUCCUCCUAUAAGCAUACUGUAUGGCAUAACAACUUGCCCAGCCCAGCGAAAUGUAGCGAUAACUUUCACCCCUAACACACUUCUUUUUGAUAUGCAUAGACACUUUCCAUACUUUGUGCUUCUCAUGGAUAGAGCCCACCAGCUGAUCCAUGCCUUGUACUACAUGAUCCAGAUCACAUUACCCAUGGAAAGAGCUGGUAAUAUUAGUUUGUAGGUGACACUCCCAUACGUCUCCAACACUUGGAAGAGACCAUAAUAUCUAGGGGGCAUUUUCUGACUAAUUUUGCAACAAAUUGUUGCAUAUAUGAUAGCAAUUUAAGAAAAACCCAUUUUCCCACUUCAAAUUCUUUUGUCUUCCUACUUGAACCUGCAUACUUCUUCAUUUGCUCUUGAGCCUUAGUUAAGUUAUAUUUUAGUUGCCUUCAAGCUUCAUUCCACUCCUCUAAUUUAUGAGCCACAGCUGCUACUUUAGUCUCACCUGGGAUAAAACAUACAACUGUUGGAGCCUUUCGAUCAUACACCACCUCAAAUGGAGUAGCCCUAGGAGAGGCAUGAAAAGUGGUGUUAUACCACAAUUCAACCCAAGACAACCAUUCCUACCAACUUGGGCUGCUUGGAAGCAAAACAUCGUUUGGGGACAAAAAGAAGGCCCUUACGAGUUCAAGCUUGCACCAACCUCCAGUUUUAAUGAUAUGUUUUCUCCCUUGAAUUUUCCCCCUCCACCAUCCAUGGAGAGAAGAAUAGAGGGUUCAUUCGUUUUACAAGAAUGAAAGCGUUCCAUAUAAUCGGAGUGUGUAAUUAUGUUACUGUAGCUCUGUCAAUAUGUCUUUCUCGUUAGUCAGUACUAUCUUGUCAAUAUUUUCAUUUCAGACUAGAGUUAAAAGCAAAAGUCAAAUAAAAAGCUGGCUUCUUAGAGCAUUUUUGG